AACGAACGCUGGCAGCGUGGAUUAGGCAUGCAAGUCGAACGAGAAUUCGUGGAUUCAAGCCGCAAGGUGAGAAUUUGCGGAGGAAAGUGGCGAAAGGGUGAGUAACACGUGGGUAAUUUGCCUUUAAGUUGAGUACAACCCGCCGAAAGGCAGGUUAAUACUGAAUGUGAUCGCCCGCCGCAUGGCGGAUUGUUUAAAGCCGGAGACCCGCAAGGGCCUGGCGCUUGAAGAGAAACCCGCGUCCUAUCAGCUUGUUGGUGAGGUAACGGCCCACCAAGGCUAUGACGGGUAGCUGGUCUGAGAGGAUGGUCAGCCACAUUGGGACUGAGACACUGCCCAGACUCCUACGGGAGGCUGCAGUCGAGGAUCAUUUGCAAUGGGCGCAAGCCUGACAAUGCGACGCUGCGUGGAGGAUGACGGCCUUCGGGUUGUAAACUCCUGUCGUCCGGGAACAAUAUCGGGCGGGUUAAUAACCCGGCCGGUUGAUGGUACCGGAAGAGGAAGUCACGGCUAACUCUGUGCCAGCCGCCGCGGUAAUACA
rnacentral:rRNA from 1 species